rnacentral:lncRNA from 1 species
ACUAUGGUCUAAGGUCUUUGGUGGCAUACGACAGAAACUCACACUGGCUACCUUAAGCAAAGCCAUUAGAGGGGCUGGCUAGAAUCAAGCUACACAGAAAGAACAGGAAUCAAGGGUACUCCCUGAGAGGCUGUCUCAUGCUCCUCAUCCUCCAAGCAUUCAUGCAAAAAGAGCAAGAAUCUGGCAAUCAUCAUAAAUUGCUUUCUCUGGUCUGACCCUUGUGUUUUCUUCCUAGUUGAUUCCAAACUCAUGAAAGGAGGCUGGGGUGUGAUCACUUACCUCUUAUAAAGCCCCCAAAGGGGGAAAGUGCUUGGAGAGAUGACCUGAGGGAAGCCUGGUGUGCCUGGAGAUACAGUGAGUGCAGGUGGAAAGCAGAAUGAGAUGAGUUCACGGGAUAGAUGGAGACCAGAUCAUACAUGGUCUUGUGGCCAUGGUAAGUAUUAGUUUCAUUCAGAGCCAAUGAAAAAAACAUUGAAAGGUUUCAAGUAGAGGAGUGACAUAUGAAGAUUUUCAUAUAGUUGUGUAAAGAAAGGCUUAUAGGGGAUCAAACAUAGUAGAAGGGAGAUGAGUUACGAGAGUA